GAUGAACGCUGGCGGCGUGCCUAAUACAUGCAAGUCGAGCGAACGGCCGAGAAGCUUGCUUCUCUGAUGUUAGCGACGGACGGGUGAGUAACACGUGGAUAACCUACCUAUAAGACUGGGAUAACUUCGGGAAACCGGAGCUAAUAGCGGAUAAUAUUUUGAACCGCAUGGUUCAAAAGUGAAAGACGGUCUUGCUGUCACUUAUAGAUGGAUCCGCGCUGCAUUAGCUAGUUGGUAAGGUAACGGCUUACCAAGGCAACGAUGCAUAGCCGAACUGAGAGGGUGGUCGGCCACACUGGAACGGAGACAGGGUCCAGACUCCUACGGGAGGCAGCAGUAGGGAAUCGUCCGCAAUGGGCGAAAGCCUGACCGAGCAACGCCGCGUGAGUGAGGAAGGUCUUCGGAUCGUAAAACUCUGUUAUUAGGGAAGAACAUAUGUGUAAGUAACUGUGCACAUCUUGACGGUACCUAAGCAGAAAGCCACGGCUAACUACGUG
rnacentral:rRNA from 1 species